CAUGAAGCUGGAAUCGCUAGUAAUCGCGAAUCAGAAUGUCGCGGUGAAUACGUUCCCGGGUCUUGUACACACCGCCCGUCACACCAUGGGAGUCGGAAAUGCCCGAAGUCAGUGACCUAACCGAAAGGGAGGAGCUGCCGAAGGUGGAGCCGGUAACUGGGGUGAAGUCGUAACAAGGUAAC
rnacentral:rRNA from 1 species